rnacentral:lncRNA from 1 species
UUUGUCGCUCGUCCAGUGCUCCGGCCGCGUGCCCAGGUACUCUUCGUCGGAUGAAUGAGUGGAGAGGAUCUCGAUGGUUGUCAUCACCUGCGUCGCUUCGACUUUGGUGGAGAAGGACGAGAGGUAGAAUUUCUCCCCUCUUCGCAGCUGUUUAUAUUCUUCGGUGUCUUCGUCAGGAAUGAGCUUGUGAGCGAUGGUCGGCCUGUUCACUGGGAAUCCAGCGUAUGCAUACUGGCCAAAGUUAACAGCAGCGUGGUGGCACGAUGGGAUCCAAAUCAUGGUGGUGAGUGCCUCGAUCAAGUUUGCUUUUGUGUUCAGGUCUGUCCAUCCAACUUUCUUGUCUGCAUGACCAACAUUCACGAUUUCUUGCCACCAUGCCUGGAGCUCAGUGUCAUCCCUGACUGAAGCAUCGUCCUUGUAGAAAAUGUCUGUGUAGUCCGUCACCCAUUGCUUCAAUGCACUCCAGAGGUUCAGUCCAUCCACUGCGUAAGGAUAGUCUUCAAUGAGGAGGUCUAGGCCGUGUCUGGCUUUCGGAUUUGGAGUAGCCAUUCCCCUGGAAAAAAAUCAAUGCUUGUUUUUCGUUUGGAUAGUUUCAAGCCAGAAAUCCCCUUACCUGGCGAUCAAGUCAGCUGGAAGUCCCUGCUGGUCGAAUCUCCACUGCGAUCCAUAGACGACAGCACUUAUUUCUAUGGAGUAUUUUCCCGGUGUGAAGUUGGCUUCGAUGAUUCCUGAUGCAUUGAUCAGCGAUUGGCGAGCUUUGGAAUUGAUGGUCAUUGUGUCUUUGAAGUGCGGAAUCAGCAGGAGGUAGAUUGGAUGAAGAAUGCUCAGCUGCCUGUGCAUAGCAAUUAUAAACGGUUCCAUGACGGCAUGCGUUCUCAGCCUGGAUGAGCGCGAUCAGGUAAGCAUUGCCAUAUAUUUUUUUGUAUCAUUCUCUUACCAGUGACUAAUGAGUUGAUGGUAUCCACAGUCAUUCACGGCAACGUGUCCUUUGGCAACUUCCCAAGCCCAGUCCCUCUUUGGUGUGUCGGAGCAGACAAAUACCCUGUUCUUUCUCUGGCCGGUCGCUGUUGCUGCUGGGAGGCUCAACUCGAUGGCUAUAGGCUUCAAGACACCUCUGUCUGUAAGAAACAAUAUAGUCCGUGUUGCGUACGUUUUCUUUCCCUCCUGCGCAUUAAUCCUGUUCAAGUAUGGCAGGAAUGCAUCGUGGUAAUCCAGGAUGAAGAGCUUAUUCGCCUCCAAAGCCUGACAAACACCAGCGGUGAAGCUUGGUUCUUAGAAAAACACUUUCUUACUUCUUGAACAGUGAGGCCGUUGAGCUGAUCCAGUAUGUGUUCGUCUUUCAG